CACUUCAAACUUUCUUCACAAUUCAAAACAAAAGACACUUUAGAAUGGACUCAGUCGGUCCUUAUUAUUAUCAUUAUUUUUUCAUUUUUGUUUUUCAUUCAUUUUUUUCAUUUUUUAUUUAAAUGGUUGAUCGAACCUGAUGUGGGUUGCCUACGUAUCAGGUGGGAACAUGAAUUAGAUCUUGCAUAGUUCGGGAAGAUUAGGAAUAAGCAAAUGAACUAACUCUUUUUUGGAUUUUGGACUUUUUCGAAAGCAAAUGAGGUUUGCCUACGUAUCUCACAUCCGGUGAGAAUCAAACCCGCGUAGUUCGGUCAGUUUUGGCAUAAUUGGAAAAACAUGAUAUUGACUCACUUUCAUUUAUUUUUUUGAAAUACAUUUUCUUUUCCUCUUAUUUUUUCAAAAUUUUUGGCAGAGUUUCUAGGCAUUUUCAAAUACCGGGGUUUUCAGAACCGGGUGAAUUCUCUAUCCUACCUCACUCUUGGUUUUUCUGUAAUUUUUCUUUCCUUAGACGGCAACAUGUAAGCCAAAACAAAUAAAUGUACACAUAGCACAUAAGAUGCAUCAAUAUAGUCUUUUAUUUUGGGUACACCUGUCAUAAACGGACCCAACCCCUGUGUUGAGUCCCCAAGGUCAAAUGCAUGUGAUGCACACAAACGUUCCUACUAGGGAUCCGGCAUGAGGCUAUGUUAUUCUAGGUUUAAACCUGGGGUUGUGUUCUAGACCUGGCUUACCCAAGCGGACAACUCGAGCCGAAGAAGGGGCAACGUACCGGGAGCACGAAAAUCUACCCGGCCUUGUUGCUGGCCCAGCCUCGUUCUAUUUGGUAUAACUUCUAACAGAAAAAGUGGGCCAUGCGAACGUGUGCACCCUUUUUUUGCAAACUCGGAAGGGAGGCAUAAGAAGGCAUUUAAAUACAGUUCAAAUAAUAUCAAAGCAAUAAAUAAGCGACAGUUAGCACAUUAGGUUCACAAAUACAGUAAUAUCAACAAACAAUAAAGCCAAGCAUAGAUCAUAUUAACAAGCUCGAAUUCUUCAACCCUGAACCAGAAGUUUUGGGUUCUAGUUAUUAUUCCCCAGCAGAGUCGCCAGAGCUGUCACGCCUCCUUUUUACCACCAUAAAGGGGUAUAAGUGAGUUUUUCCAAUUAAAGUGACAUAAUCAAAAUGGGAUUAUUUUAUUUAAUUCAGAGUCGCCACUUGGGAUAAUUUCUGGUGUCCCAAGUCACCAAUUUAAAAUUCCGAAUCGAGGAAAGCUUGACUCGUAUUAAUGGUUUGCGAACAUAGAAAUCCGGGUAAGGAAUUCUGUUAACCCGGGAGAAGGUAUUAGGCAUUCCUGGGUUCCAUGGUUUUAGCACGGUCGCUUUGAUCCUACUUGGCUUAAUUAUAUUGUCUAAUUACUUAUUUUUAAACCUAUGUGUAUUUACCCUUUUAACCGCUUUUAAACACUUCAUUAUUAAUUAUAAAAUUAUCUUAAAAUGAGUCAAGCGUACGUGUACUCCUUUUGUUUGGUGCGUCAAAAAUCAUGUCACGCGUAUCUGCCCACAAUCAAUAACACCUUAUUAAUACUAAGAAAAUUUGGCCGAAGUUGGGCGAACGCAUACCUCGAUUUAUUUUGAAAAUCAUAAUUAUGACACGCGAACGUAUACACAAUCAUAAUAAUUUAAGUCGUGCCUAAAAGCAUUUCUACGAGUGUUCAUGAUUUUCCUAAGAUUUGAGAUUAUUGAGAGGUCAAGAAUUAUUAAAUCAAUUGAGAAAAAUGGAUCAGCUUUUGUUCUUAUUAAAAAAAUGGGCCAGCAAAAUAAUUUAUUGGGCCCUAUGUAGUUAACGCAGAACCAACCCCCGAGACCCAAUCUUAUAUCGUUAUCUCAAUUACCAUUGUGGCCCAUUAUACUAUUCUAAAGACUAUUUGGCUUAUGCCAAACCUCCAACUCAUCGUGCAAAUACUUGAACUCAAACUCAAUGGAUUAACAGGCUUAAAAAAAAUCACUACAUUAAGUCAUCUCAAGCAACUAACGGACCAUGGAAAUUAAUCAUUCAUAGAAAAAUAUCAAAGCGUGAUUUGAAACAAUAAAAAGAAUAGAGAUGGACCUUUAUUAUUAAAUAUGUUCCUCCAAAUUUGUACAAUGAAAACAAAGCUUCCAAUUGACUGCAAACAUAACGAGAGGCUGCAAAUGGAACCACAACGGAAGUUGGACGAGAAAAGCUUCAAACUUGACCUUGAAAGAAAGGUCUUUGGGUGAACUCGACAACAGCUUUUGCUGCAUUUUCGAGCUGCUUUUCGCAAGGUUUUCGGGCUGCUUUUUCCUCGAGUUUAGAGGGUGAUAUUAGCUGCGUUUUUGGAGUUGUUUCAGGUGAUUUUGGGAAGGUUUUGGAGCUAAUUUUUGGAGUUGUUUUUUCUGGUUUUGGUGCAGAUUUUGGGAUGGAUUUAACAGAGAAUUUGGGGCUGUUUGUGAGGUAAAAGAGCUGCUGGUUUUUGUAGUGUUUAACUAGUUAUUAACGGAGGUUCAUGGCUGCAUUACUGAGCAGAUUUUUAGCUUGUUUUUUUUGAGUUUUUUGAGGUCUUUAAUGGAAUAUCUAGAGGAAGAAGAUGAGUUUAUGGUUAGGAAGAAGAAAAGAAAAGCAGUUGUGAUUUUUUUUCUUUCAAAUGCUGCGGCGCAGCUUUUUUUUUCUUUGCUCUAGGGUUCUCCUUUUUUAUGCCCAGCCCUUCUCUUUU
rnacentral:lncRNA from 1 species